rnacentral:rRNA from 1 species
GACGAACGCUGGCGGCGUGCCUAAUACAUGCGAGUAGAACGCUGAAGGAGGAGCUUGCUCUUCUGGAUGAGUUGCGAACGGGUGAGUAACGCGUAGGUAACCUGCCUGGUAGCGGGGGAUAACUAUUGGAAACGAUAGCUAAUACCGCAUAAGAGUAGAUGUUGCAUGACAUUUGCUUAAAAGGUGCAAUUGCAUCACUACCAGAUGGACCUGCGUUGUAUUAGCUAGUUGGUGGGGUAACGGCUCACCAAGGCGACGAUACAUAGCCGACCUGAGAGGGUGAUAGGCCACACUGGGACUGAGACACGGCCCAGACUCCUACGGGAGGCAGCAGUAGGGAAUCUUCGGCAAUGGACGGAAGUCUGACCGAGCAACGCCGCGUGAGGGAAGAAGGUUUUCGGAUCGUAAAGCUCUGUUGUAAGAGAAGAACGAGUGUGAGAGUGGAAAGUUCACACUGUGACGGUAUCUUACCAGAAAGGGACGGCUAACUACGUG